rnacentral:rRNA from 1 species
UGCAAGUCGAACGCGUUGGCCCAAUUGAUUGACGGUGCUUGCACCUGAUUGAUUUUGGUCGCCAACGAGUGGCGGACGGGUGAGUAACACGUAGGUAACCUGCCCAGAAGCGGGGGACAACAUUUGGAAACAGAUGCUAAUACCGCAUAACAGCGUUGUUCGCAUGAACAACGCUUAAAAGAUGGCUUCUCGCUAUCACUUCUGGAUGGACCUGCGGUGCAUUAGCUUGUUGGUGGGGUAACGGCCUACCAAGGCGAUGAUGCAUAGCCGAGUUGAGAGACUGAUCGGCCACAAUGGGACUGAGACACGGCCCAUACUCCUACGGGAGGCAGCAGUAGGGAAUCUUCCACAAUGGGCGCAAGCCUGAUGGAGCAACACCGCGUGAGUGAAGAAGGGUUUCGGCUCGUAAAGCUCUGUUGUUAAAGAAGAACACGUAUGAGAGUAACUGUUCAUACGUUGACGGUAUUUAACCAGAAAGUCACGGCUAACUACGUGCCAGCAGCCGCGGUAAUACGUAGGUGGCAAGCGUUAUCCGGAUUUAUUGGGCGUAAAGAGAGUGCAGGCGGUUUUCUAAGUCUGAUGUGAAAGCCUUCGGCUUAACCGGAGAAGUGCAUCGGAAACUGGAUAACUUGAGUGCAGAAGAGGGUAGUGGAACUCCAUGUGUAGCGGUGGAAUGCGUAGAUAUAUGGAAGAACACCAGUGGCGAAGGCGGCUACCUGGUCUGCAACUGACGCUGAGACUCGAAAGCAUGGGUAGCGAACAGGAUUAGAUACCCUGGUAGUCCAUGCCGUAAACGAUGAGUGCUAGGUGUUGGAGGGUUUCCGCCCUUCAGUGCCGGAGCUAACGCAUUAAGCACUCCGCCUGGGGAGUACGACCGCAAGGUUGAAACUCAAAGGAAUUGACGGGGGCCCGCACAAGCGGUGGAGCAUGUGGUUUAAUUCGAAGCUACGCGAAGAACCUUACCAGGUCUUGACAUCUUGCGCCAACCCUAGAGAUAGGGCGUUUCCUUCGGGAACGCAAUGACAGGUGGUGCAUGGUCGUCGUCAGCUCGUGUCGUGAGAUGUUGGGUUAAGUCCCGCAACGAGCGCAACCCUUGUUACUAGUUGCCAGCAUUAAGUUGGGCACUCUAGUGAGACUGCCGGUGACAAACCGGAGGAAGGUGGGGACGACGUCAGAUCAUCAUGCCCCUUAUGACCUGGGCUACACACGUGCUACAAUGGACGGUACAACGAGUCGCGAACUCGCGAGGGCAAGCAAAUCUCUUAAAACCGUUCUCAGUUCGGACUGCAGGCUGCAACUCGCCUGCACGAAGUCGGAAUCGCUAGUAAUCGCGGAUCAGCAUGCCGCGGUGAAUACGUUCCCGGGCCUUGUACACACCGCCCGUCACACCAUGAGAGUUUGUAACACCCAAAGUCGGUGGGGUAACCUUUUAGGAGCCAGCC